rnacentral:rRNA from 1 species
UACGUAGGGGGCAAGCGUUGUCCGGAAUUAUUGGGCGUAAAGAGCGCGUAGGCGGUCCGAUAAGUCGGCUGUGAAAGUCAGGGGCUCAACCCUUGAAAGCCGGCCGAUACUGUCGGACUAGAGUCCGGAAGAGGCAAGUGGAAUUCCCGGUGUAGCGGUGAAAUGCGCAGAUAUCGGGAGGAACACCAAUGGCGAAGGCAGCUCGCUGGGACGGUACUGACGCUAAGGCGCGAAAGCGUGGGGAGCGAACAGG